GUUGAGUGUGUGCUCUCGCAUAAUUCUAUAGGGAUCUAUGAGAUCGAGUAUGAAAUUCUGUUUUGUCACUUUAAAUUGAGAAUCCGUUUUCCUCCUUUUCCCGCUAGGAUCGAAAAUCCUGUAUUUAUUAUAAGCAAAGUUUUCUUCAUUUUGAUAUGUCUCCAGUUGUUUUAG
rnacentral:rRNA from 1 species